rnacentral:rRNA from 1 species
GACAGAGGGUGCAAACGUUGUUCGGAAUUACUGGGCGUAAAGCGCGUGUAGGCGGCUCGGAAAGUCGGAUGUGAAAGCCCAGGGCUCAACCCUGGAAGUGCACUCGAAACUCCCGAGCUGGAGUCCCGGAGAGGAAGGCGGAAUUCUCGGUGUAGAGGUGAAAUUCGUAGAUAUCAGGAGGAACACCUGUGGCGAAGGCGGCCAUCUGGACGGUAACUGACACUGAGGCACGAAGGCCAGGGGAGCAAACAGG